rnacentral:rRNA from 1 species
UACGAGAGGCCCAAACGUUAUUCGGAAUUACUGGGCUUAAAGAGUUCGUAGGCGGCAUUGCAAGUAGGGUGUGAAAGCCCUCGGCUCAACCGAGGAAUUGCGCUCUAAACUGCAGUGCUUGAGGAACCUAGAGGUGAGCAGAACAGAUGGUGGAGCAGUGAAAUGCGUUGAUAUCAUCUGGAAUACCGGAGGCGAAGGCGGCUCACUGGGAGUUUUCUGACGCUGAGGAACGAAAGCCAGGGUAGCGAACGGG